ACCUACUAAUUUUACCCUCAGAGAAAGAGAGAGUCUUUGGAGAGUUGUGAGGAGAUAAGUGACAUAAACUGGCAUGUUCUGAAAGAAUCACUCUGGAUGCUGUGUGGAGAAAACACUGAAAAGGGGGAGAAUAAUUGACUCCAUUCAAGUGUUCGCUCCUGUUUCAAUCAACUAUGGCUGAAGAGUGAGGAGACAUUUGGAAUAAAUAUGGCUUCUGGGGGCCCAUUCCUAUGGAUCAGCAGCUGGCUUCUGGAGGCCCAUUCCUGUGAAUCGUCGAUCUCAUAGAAGAUAAUAUUGUUAGAAGGCUUACCUCAUUGAUGCUGAACAUCCUAAAAAGCUUCUGCUGCUUUGAGUCACUGAAAAAGACCAAGAAACAUGAAUUUAAAAAAAAAUUUCAAAUGUUAUAAAAUAAAUAAUAUGAACUCAUUAUACCUACAAUGAAUAAUUUAAAUUCUUCUUUGGUAGUCCAGGUAAAUAACUUCUCAAAUAGAUUUUUUUAAGCAUCUGUAUAAGUUCAAGAUGUACAUCACUUCAUGUAGAAUAACAUCUCCUAAAAAGAACUGAAAUGCCUCAGUAUACAACCAGCUGACCUGGCUAUCAAACACUUAUUUAGCACAUAUUACAUGAUGGACACUUUGAUGUAGAUACGGACCUUGGGUUGUGUCCUCAAGGAUCAUACAGUGGGUUGAGGAAAUAGGAUAUGCUAUCCAUAGGAAAGUAAAUAAUAAUAUGACAGCUUAUUUUCAAUGAGAAGUGAAUAGUACAAAGAAUAGGAGUUGCCAGAUUUCAAAAGGAAAGAGCUAUCACACAGAGGCGGAACAAUUAGAAAUUUUUCAUGAAGGAAGUGUUCUUUGUGCUGGACCUUUGAGAAAGUAUAGAAUGUAGAUUAGCAAAAAGGCAUGGAAAAGGCAUGAUAGGUAGGAGAGGCAAGUUAGGCAAAGGUCCAUUAGAAUUGCUCAAGAUAUAAUAGACCAACUUGGCCUGAAAAAGGCCUGGAAGUAUCCUCUUUUGUGCUCUGUGAGAAGUUUGCCACCAUGUAAAAAGUCUAACUACCCUAAGGCAACCAUGCUCUGAGAAGCCCAACCUAUCCAGGUGGAGAGGUCCUGUAGAGAAUUGAGGCCACUGGCCCUGAGCUCCCAGUUGAAAUAGACAAUAUCAACAUGUCAGCAGGGUGAAUGAGACCAUCUUGGAAGUGGGUCCUCCAAGAGUAGUUGAGCCAUCCUGCCUAAAUUUCAGCAUUUUGAGCAAAUAAAUGAUUUAUACCAUUUUAAAUCACUAUAUUUUUGAGUGAAUCACUGACUUUUUUCUCAAUUAAGCAUAGGUUUAGAAACUAUGAAAACCCUAGAAGAAAACCUAGGCAAUGCCAUUCAGGACAUAGGCACGGACAAAGAUUUCAUGACGAAGACGCCAAAAACAACUGCAACAAAAGCAAAAAUUGACAGAUGGGAUCUCAUUAAACUAAAGAGCUUCCAUACAGCAAAAGAAGCUACCAUGAGAGUGAACAGACAACCUAUAGAAAGGGAGAAAAAUUUUGCAAUCUGUUCAUCUGACAAAGGUCUAAUAUCCAGCAUCUACAAGGAACUUAAAUAAAUUUACAAGAAAAAAACAAACCCAUUAGAAAAUGGGCAAAGGACAUGAAAAGAUACUUCUCAAAAGACAUACAUGUGGCCAACAAUCAUACAAAAAAAACCUCAACAUCACUGAUGAUUAGAAAAAUGCUAAUCAAAACCACAACGAGAUACCAUCUCAUACCUGUCAGAAUGGCUAUUAAUAAAAAGUUAAAAAACAA
ensembl:lncRNA HRAT17 heart tissue-associated transcript 17